rnacentral:lncRNA from 1 species
AAAACUCUGCCAAACUGAACAGAGAGAUUAGAGCUUGUGUAAGAGGGGACUCUACACAAAUCAAGGUUUACAUAGGACCCGAGGUAAGUAGAUGUUAAGACAAUAGCACUAGUAUGUUUUGACACAUGUUUUAUGAAAAACAUUUAUGGUUUUGCUGAAAUGUAAAAUCAUUGUACAAUGCAUUGAUUGGUGUCUGCUGUGUUAUUUGGCACGUAUGAGAUCUGAGUGCACUGCACUUGCUAUGUGAU